GGCAGACUUAAGCUAUUUAUGUCCAACCCACAGGGACCCAAGGAGAUGGAUGGUGGCGGCCGUGGUUUUUCACCUCGUGCUUCCCUAGAGGAAAGAUGCAAGCUUGGUAAUGACAAAGCGAUGCUGUUCGGCAUGUGGAAAGAAGGUGUUCCCACUCGUGGCAAUGGAUUGAUUAUUAUGGAAGAGAGAAUGCCACUCCUCUGGACUUUCAAAGUGAGCUAAUUGGGUACAGUGGAGAGCUCAAGCCAGACCUUGUACUGUGAGGAACAGGUGAAGAAGGUCAUCCUUCCUGAUCCAAUGUCAUUGUGAAGCACGCAGAAGACCAAGACUUUCUUCAGCAACAAGACUAAUUCCAAAUGCAACUUAAGAAUUUGGAGUUAAAUACUCACACAUCUAUAGAUGUGUCCUAGUUUCAUCCUGGUCUCAAACCUAAAAAUAGAAUAAGUAUAAAUUUGGCUUCUUGAAGUCUGGAAAUAAAUUGUGUCAUCCUUGAAUGGAAGCAAGCUUGAUGAUUUGACAUUGAAUUUCAUCCAUCCUCUUUUCCUGUAGUAAUGUCCAUACUUAUCCAGGGAUAGAAGUACAGAUUGACAGAUGCUAAGGAAGAACAGCAAAUGGAAUUUGUGUG